UACAGAGGGUGCGAGCGUUAAUCGGAAUUACUGGGCGUAAAGCGCGCGUAGGCGGCUUUGCAAGUCGGGUGUGAAAUCCCCAGGCUUAACCUGGGAACUGCAUUCGAGACUGCAUUGCUAGAGUAUGGGAGAGGGAAGUGGAAUUUCCGGUGUAGCGGUGAAAUGCGUAGAUAUCGGAAGGAACAUCAGUGGCGAAAGCGACUUCCUGGACCAAUACUGACGCUCAUGUGCGAAAGCGUGGGGAGCAAACAG
rnacentral:rRNA from 1 species